GGGACUUGACCCUCUAUAUGACGUCGUCAAGCACAAAGAAUACAAAGAUAAGUGCUACGAAGGCCUGAUGUCUCAAGUAUGCUGAGCUUUUACCAUGGGGUGGAAAUUUAACGGGCGAAUCGUUGAGAUUCUUCUCACCAAUAGUCAUAUGGACCAGGCUUAAGUCUAGUCAACACAUGCAUGACGUUUGAUACCCUGCAUUCGUGGAUUAUCUCAAGGCUUGGCUUGUUUUGAUGGACCUAGGAAUAAGGGAGACUGAUGCAUCUCAAAUUAUAGCCAACCGUGAAGCGCAGCAUCGGUAUCUGACUUUGAGAGCAGAAAAGGGACCAGUGCUACCACCGAUGGUCUAAAGCAUUAAGCAAAGUGUUAUAGGUGCAUCUAAAAUUAUGCCGUUGCUCUUAUGUUUCUUUGAUUCCUUUUCAAUCUAUAACUUAUUUGAUUUUUGAGUCGAGAAUCUGGGAUAUGAAGUUUUGAAAAGGUUAUUAGGGGAGACACAUGCAAAGAUAGAAACGUCAUUUACAGCUAAUAGAAAAUGGGCUUAGUGUAGGCUUGAGUCCAUUUAUAUUUGUUUCUUGUGCUUGUGAAGUUCAC